AAUAAAUAAUCAAAUUUGAUUUAAAGGUGCAGUAAGCAAUUUCUGAGAAAGACACACUUGUAGCCAAUCAGCAGUAGGGGGCGUAUACACUCAUUAUGGGGGAGGAGAGAGAGUGAACAAGAGGGAGAUUUGAAGAAAGUCUGUAGAAAGAGAGAAUGCUGAGAGACACAUUUCAAAAAAGGAAAGGUCAGAGGAAUAUCGCUGGAAAAAGAAGGGUUAUGAUUGGGCAUUUAGGACCCACAAUAAUAUUAGAAAAGCUUUCCAGCGCUGUAAGUGGGAAGGCCUGAAAACGUAAACAAAUGAAAACGAGUAACAUUGGUUUUGCUAUGUUUCACAGAACCAAGAUAUGCUGUUGUUGUAAUGUUAGCUAUAGUAAUAAGAUUUCAAGUUUUCAGUGUCAUUGUUUGUCUGGAGCUGGUGUGCUUCUGGCGACUAACAACGAACUCUUGUUCUUGUGUACUGUAUGUUCAUUUUUUGUUCCUCCCUUGUUUGUUCGUCACCUUCGCUUUAUUUUUCACAAAGCAUUAUUUUGCUUCUCUUCAGCUAUGAUAAGCAUCCACUCUUGCAUUGCCUGUUUGUGCAUUUUGGGGGGUGGAGCAAUGAAGGGAGGGGUUUGUUUGUUUGGGUUGAUUCAAGUAUCCACAGUGUUUCUCAGAAAUUGCUUACUCCACCUUUAAGCCUUAACUGGUGACAUUUAAGAGGCUGCAUGAGGAUACCUUUGAAAAUUAAAUAUUUUGCUCAAAUAAUGUAAUUUCAUCCUUUCUUCAAGAUGUUUUUAUUUUCAAUUUAACAGUUUGUAUCUUACAGGACAAAUGACGUAAAAGUUAGGAACAUAACCCUCAAGGUCAGCGGCCAUGUUGCUUUUAGAUAAAGAAGGUGAGAUGAUGCUUUUACCAAGUCACUUGAGUAUGAUACCCAUUUUAAUGUUUUAGGCCCACUCACUCCCUGUGGAUAAAAUUUUUUCCCUGUUAGUCACUAAAAAGACCACAUGAGGGAGCUUUAACCCAUGCGUAUCUUCAGAGACUGAAAUCAGCUUCAUGAAACCAGUUGAAGACUUUUCAGCAGACAUGAUGAUAAAUUAUUUUCUGAGAAAUGUGAGAUUCAGUGAUUUUCUAACCACCUUGCUAAACUCCAUCACGCACUACACAGAUCACAAUGCAGAUGAGCAAGAGUCCAAGCACAGCACCCAGUUAUGGGGGUGGGAAUAAGAUGAAAGAGGCAGAAAACAUUGAACAUCUGUCUGUAAUUGACGGCAUGGCCAGGGAAUCUAGGGGAGUGUGUGGCCUUGCAGCUGUGGUGCAGGGAUUUGUUUUUGUUCCUUGGAUACUGUGGCACCCUGGUGGCCCAGAAACUGACCCACCACAGGGACGAUUCCAAUGGAUACAUGCAGUCUGUAUGUAGAGGGUUAAAUAUCAAUGUAGUCUUUAAAGGAAGAGAAACAUAUUGAAGAAAAACUUCAUUUCAGUCUGGUUUCACUCCAGGGCACAUAUGCUUCUUCUCAUGAAAUGCUGCUAUGAACUGAAUCGUCAGUAAAGAGCAAGAGGAACCAGAAAAUUACCAGACAAAAGUGAAUUAAGCACCCUAGCAGCUUCCACUGGACCAUGAGCACUGAUCAUUCUGCGCUGAAGGGUUCAGCCCUGGUUAAUGGAGCAGAGCUGGCGACAGCCACUGGAGGAGCAGAGGGGUCCUGCUCUCGCUGUACCCUUCCUUUUGGUGUGGUUCUCCUGAUCAUUGGAGUUGCAGUCACAGCGGUAGCCUACAGUUUCAGCACCCAUGGAUCAACCAUCUCCAUUCUGGGACUUCUGCUUCUCAUCAGUGGACUGUUGCUUCUGGGCUUCAGUGCAGUGUGCAGGAGAUGCAGAAAGAGAAGAAAAAUGGACAGAUCGUGGGAGAGUCAGACUGACCUGGUAGAGAGUCGGAGGAAUAGCUUUGAUUAAAAUAUGUUUUGGAAUGACUGAAAAUGAAUUCAUUUGAAUCCAUUUGUCAUUAAAAUUCAAUGUACUAUUCAAUGUGUUUAGAGUUUCAACAGAAUGAGAUUGACCCAGAGCUCAUAAUAUCCAGAUUUUGAUUAAAUGGUACGAUUCGCAUGACGUACUUUUAGGUUUAAAAAGACCUGCUUUGAAUGGAAAUAUUGGUGACUUCAAAUCACAUGCAUAAAAACCAGAGCAGCACAUUCAUUCAAAUUGUAGACAGAUUAUGCCCUGUGUCAUGUAUGGUUUGCAUGGCCCCCACCUGUGACCUUCUUUUUAAGACCUCAGUUAUUCUUUUAGUCCAUCUGGUACGUUUACAGUAUAAUCCUUGUCAAACUAUAAAACUUUGGGCAGGUGGUAUGUGCUAGUGUUCACUGCACAGCUGUAAGCUGUAAUAGAUGCUUAUGGACAGAUCAAGACAUAAAUAGGCAGAUGUUGCAAACCCAGAUUAAAAGAAGAAAAGCACUCUACUUUCUCGUCCAUUAACAUGAAGGUCAAACAAUACUGUACCCUUAGAUUACCUUUGGGUAUAACACUAAAUAUCAAAGUUUCAGUUUUAUUUUUAUUGUUGAUACAUGAUAGUAUAGCUUUGCAUAUAUUAUAUUUAUACAUAUAUUUUGCCUUACUUUUUCUCACAUGGGCUGGGUGAAAUGUAAAGGCCCUUUCACACCAAAAGUGAAAUGCAGCUCAAACAAACCUUUCAGCUGUGCUGCUGUAAAGGAUUGCAAAAGAAUAUGAGAAGGAGGAGGAAGAGAAGAAAGUGUAACACCCUUACUUCAGCAAUAAAAACAAAUUAAACACACAAUCUCAGUCACCAUGUCCGUCACCUUCUGCACUACAUUACCCAGAAUCCUUCCUGGUCCAUCACCUGCACAUAUUCCACAAUCAUCACCAGCUUUCAUCUAUCACCUCAUCACCCUGCACCAGAUAUAAGGACACUCCAUUUAUGUGCAUUGUCUGGUCUUGUUGAUUGCCAAGACUGCUAUCGUUUGGACUGCGACUUACCGGAACUAUACUUACCUCUGUGCCCUGCUCCUUGUCCCUGUCUCCCCUUCAGUCUCCAUGCUCCUGUUCCUCCUUGUUCCCCAGUUUCUAUAUGGACAUCCUGCAAAGAAAGGAAAGUUAUUCAUUGCAUAUCAGUGACUGUUAGAAGUGUGUGUGUGGAUUCUCACCUGCAAGUUCCCUGUCUGCACUCACCGCCAUUGCUGCCUGUUUUCACUCUGCUAAUUUCAACCUAUUUUUCAAUAAAGAGUUUAAUUGUUUAUA